CAUGAGCCCCAUGUACAGCUCGAGCCCAAAGUGUGAGGCAAGACUUUGGAGGAGGGACGACCAGCAGCAGUUUCUGGGACCCCUGAUGCUCUUUAGGCCGAGGGGCCUGCACUGGAAUGGAGUCCACUGAAGGGGUGGUUGUUUUUCACCUCAGGGGAAUCAGAGUGUGCAAUCCUGGGAACCUCCAUAUGCCAUGGGAGCAGCCCUAGAAAAAAGGCAAAAAGACCAAAAAAAAAAAAAAAAAGAAAAGAAAAAGAAAAAAAAAAAAGCAAUGUCUUUGAGCCUUUCUGCAGACCUAAAACCCCCAACAAAAAGGAAGAACUACUUGAUGAAGCCUUCUUCAGUUCCUGGAAGGAGGAGGCCCACCAGAACCAGUCCUAAGGCCACUAAACACCAGCUUUGAGAAACAAUGCAAGCUUGCUUCUACCAUGAUCCUUAUCUUUGGCCCUAUUCUCCCCAAAUUAUAAAACCAUCUUCUAAUCCUUUCCUAGGAGGGGCACAGUCUUUAAGGCAUUAGCUUGGUUUGGCUCCCUUGCCUGGCAAAGCACUAAAGCUAUCUUUUUCUCCUUCAUCCAAAACUGUCUCCACAUUUCUAUUCAGCAACUCUGGACAGGGGCUGUUUCAGCAACAUCCAUGAGGAUUUGGCUUCUAUCCCUGGCCUCACUCGGUGUAUUAAGGAUCUGGUGUUGCUGCUAGGUGCAGCAUAGGUCUCAGAUGUGGCUCGGAUCUGGCGUUGCUGUGGCUGUGGUGUAGGCUGGCAUCUGGAGCUCCAAUUCAACCUGCAGCCUCGGAACUUCCAGAUGCCUCGGCUGCAGCCCCAAAGAAAAAAAAUAAAAACCUUGUAGGACAGUUUCUGUUAUUUGCAUUUUCUUUUCCAUGAGCAAGCUAAGUACCUGAAAAUUUGAGAAGUCAAGAAGAGAUUUCCACCCAGAGCCUGCCAGUUGGGUUUACUGAUGAAAGAACUUUUUCCUUAUAGAAGGUAAACAGUAAGUGGGCAUAUGUGAAACAAGUGUCCACUGAAAUAAAAACACACAACAUGAGAGCUUUGUUUAUUUUUUUUUAAUUUAUUUUUAUUUUAUUCUCUUUUUAGGGCUGCACCUGCAACCGGCAACACAGCUCACAAGUGAGGCAGAAUAAUCACUCAGGUAGUCAGUGUAGGAGCAUGGGCUUCAGUGCAUUCUUUGAUAUGGCUAUUGAUUAACAUUUGUGGCUUAAGGGCUCCAGAGAGUAACAUCCCCACAGGCCUUGUUUACUAUAGGGAGUGUACCUACACCCAGAUGGAUAUUAAUCCCUAACCCGCUGUGAUUCAAUCUCUGAGAGGAGAAGGGAAAUGAAACCAUGAGACUUAAGGGGCAUUUCCACCCUAAGACCCCUAUUGGACAAGGACUGAACUGGGCAAGGCCAAUAGGAAAAAAACCCACAUCUUUCUGGACCCCACGUUGGUAACCCCCAUCUUUAAGGUAUAAAAACCCCUAUAGGACAAUAGGAGCUGGGACUCUUCUUCCCCCUCCCAGCUGUCCUGGGAGCUGUUUGCUUUCCUGCAAUAAAGGCUUUGCUUGCUUGC
rnacentral:lncRNA from 1 species